rnacentral:rRNA from 1 species
UACGUAGGGGACGAGCGUUGUUCGGAAUUAUUGGGCGUAAAGAGCGUGUAGGCGGCCAUGCAAGUCCUGCGUGAAAUCUCGCGGCUUAACCUCGAGCCUGCAUUCGAUACUGGGCGGCUAGAGUCUGGUAGGGGGAUCUGGAAUUCCUGGUGUAGCGGUGGAAUGCGCAGAUAUCAGGAGGAACACCGGCGGCGAAGGCGGGAUGCUGGGCCAGUACUGACGCUCAUGUGCGAAAGCGUGGGGAGCAAACAGG